rnacentral:rRNA from 1 species
UACGUAGGGGGCAAGCGUUGUCCGGAUUCAUUGGUGCGUAAAGAGCGUGUAGGCGGCCUGAAAGGUCAGCUGUGAAAACUCGAGGCUCAACCUCGAGACGUCGGUUGAAACCAUCUGGCUAGAGUCCGGAAGAGGAGAGUGGAAUUCCCGGUGUAGCGGUGAAAUGCGCAGAUAUCGGGAAGAACACCCGUGGCGAAGGCGGCUCUCUGGGACGGUACUGACGCUGAGACGCGAAAGCGUGGGGAGCGAACAGG